rnacentral:lncRNA from 1 species
UCCAGCACCCUCGAGCCCAGAUUCCAAACUACUCAGGUCCUGUGGACAGAUCACUGAGUGGCGAUGGCUGCAGACUCUCAGACUCCCUGGCUCCUGACCUUCAGCCUGCUCUGCCUGCUGUGGCCUCAAGAGGCUGGUGCUUUCCCUGCCAUGCCCUUGUCCAGUCUGUUUGCCAAUGCUGUGCUCCGAGCCCAGCAGAGAACUGACAUGGAAUUGCUUCGCUUCUCGCUGCUGCUCAUCCAGUCAUGGCUGGGGCCCGUGCAGUUUCUCAGCAGGAUCUUUACCAACAGCCUGAUGUUUGGUACCUCGGACCGCGUCUAUGAGAAACUGAAGGACCUGGAAGAGGGCAUCCAGGCUCUGAUGCAGGAGCUGGAAGACGGCAGCCCCCGUAUUGGGCAGAUCCUCAAGCAAACCUAUGACAAGUUUGACGCCAACAUGCGCAGCGAUGACGCUCUGCUCAAAAACUAUGGGCUGCUCUCCUGCUUCAAGAAGGACCUGCACAAGGCAGAGACCUACCUGCGGGUCAUGAAGUGUCGCCGCUUUGCGGAAAGCAGCUGUGCUUUCUAGGCACACACUGGUGUCUCUGCGGCACUCCCCCGUUACCCCCCUGUACUCUGGCAACUGCCACCCCUACACUUUGUCCUAAUAAAAUUAAGAUGCAUCAU